rnacentral:lncRNA from 1 species
CCAGGCCACCGUUUCACAAAGCCUUCGUAAGUCUACGUGUCAUCGUAAGUCCAUCGUAAAUAAAUCGUAGGAUUUACAGCCGUUUCACAAAGCCGUCGUAAGUUAAGAUGAUCGUAAAAAAAGCGUAAAUCCUAGCGUAACUUACUACAGCUAUACCCAGUCGUAACUCCAUCGUAGUUUUUCUACGAAAAUGAAUUAAUCCAUCUAACAUGGCUGCAGCGUUCUUUAUUCUUGGUCAAGAUGCCUCAAAUGUUAGAAGACGAAGAAAUUAAGAAUCUUCAAUAUCAUAGAACUACACUUGAAGUCUUACUUCGUUGGAUUAUUUGUAUAUGCAAGCAACUUACUUAAUGCAAAUCUAAGGUAUUAAUCAUUGUUUACUCAUCUUAUUUCCUACUGGCGUUCGUCUUAACAAUUUAAUAAAUAGGCUUUCUAUCACGUCCGCGUUCUGAAAUCUAUUUAUAAUUAUAUCACUACAGGCACAGUGGUAAUCGAUAAA